AGGCCUAUUGACUGGAAGACCACCUUCCCCACAAUGCGGAGACUGAAGCGCAAAGCAGCGGAGAUGCAACCAUCUGCUGCUGAGGACGCCGACGAGCCCCCAGCCAGAAAACUGCCUAUGGCGAUCCUUGCUUCAGUCCCGCCCGAGUACACCCUGGUCAGCGUUGAAGUCCUGAAGCUUCCAAGCAGUCUGGAACUGCUUCCAGGAAGCCAGGCAGACUCUGUGGCACC